rnacentral:misc_RNA from 1 species
GAAAUGCGAUAAGUAAUGUGAAUUGCAGAAUUCAGUGAAUCAUCGAAUCUUUGAACGCACAUUGCGCCCGCCAGUAUUCUGGCGGGCAUGCCUGUCCGAGCGUCAUUUCAACCAUCAAGCCCCCGGGCUUGUGUUGGGGACCUGUGGCUGCCCGCAGGCCCUGAAAACCAGUGGCGGGCUCGCUGUCACACCGAGCGUAGUAGCAAUCACCUCGCUCAGGGCGUGCUGCGGGUUCCGGCCGUUAAACAGCCUUUUUUACCCAAGGUUGACCUCGGAUCAGGUAGGAAGACCCGCUGAACUUAAGC